rfam:Elusimicrobia bacterium GWC2_61_19 gwc2_scaffold_1849, whole genome shotgun sequence.
GUCCCCAUAGCUCAAAGGAUAGAGCUCCUGCCUUCUAAGCAGGCAAUCCAGGUUCGAUUCCUGGUGGGGACA